CCUACGGGUGGCAGCAGUGAGGAAUAUUGGUCAAUGGUCGGGAGACUGAACCAGCCAAGCCGCGUGAGGGAUGAAGGUACAGAGUAUCGUAAACCUCUUUUGUCAGGGAACAAAGGCGGGGACGUGUCCCCGGAUGAGUGUACCUGAAGAAAAAGCAUCGGCUAACUCCGUGCCAGCAGCCGCGGUAUUAGGGAGGAUGCGACCGUUAUCCGGAUUAAUUGGGUUAAAGGGGGGCGCAGGCGGCCUGUUAAGUCAGCGGUAAAAGCCCGGGGCUCAACCCCGGCAAGCCGUUGAAACUGGCGGGCUGGAGUUGGAGAGAAGUACGCGGAAUGCGCGGUGUAGCGGUGAAAUGCUUAGAUAUGACGAAGAACCCCGAUUGCGAAGGCAGCUUGCUGCAGCGGAACUGACGCUGAUGCUCGAAAGCGCGGUUAUCGAACAGGAUUAGAUACCCGGGUAGUC
rnacentral:rRNA from 1 species